CGGAAAUGAUUUUGAAAUAUGAAUUUCGAAACGAAGACAGGAUAUCAACAAAGAGAGCCAAGAAAAUUGUUUGUUACGCGAUAUAUACUCACUUGGAGCUAAAAGAAAAGCCACAAAGGACAAGUUCAAUAUGCAGGUUUACAAUUUGGAAGUGGCGCAGGUUCUUUGGAAUGUCUACAACCUUUCAGGAGAAUUUUUUUUUGAAAAGCAUGGCACAGCAGGAAAAAGAUAUAAGACACUACAAGACAUUCCAAGUGAUUUUGAAUAAGACAAUUGAUUGACAUUUUCAAUGUAUUCUUAAAUAAAUCAAAUAGUUGAUGUAAAAUGGUGUUUUGUUCUCAUCUCUUCAGCCAAUUAUCAAUGAUUAUUGACUUAAGAUGUAACCCUAUUAGAAGUGUAGCGUUUUAGUUUAGAAAGAGUAGUUGUAUUGAAAAAUCUGAAUUUGAGACACAAGUUUUAGUCAAUGUAACUUGAACUUAAAAAUG